CCAGUAUUGUUAAAAUCAGCGUCAAGACGAGAGGACUUCCCUCCUGUCAUGGUGUGACAGAGAUGUACAGAGAUUAAAACAGUACAAUUUACAUUAGCAGUUUAACGUACUGUACUUUAACGUGAAAAUACAGUUAAGUGAAGGCGACAGCUUACUGCUCUCACUGCUAACACCAACGUUUCUUCACGACGGAGAAACAACGAAGUGUUCUUUGAUGUGACACGGAUAACAUUAACUCUCACUGGGGAAACGUCAGUGUUUAUCAAGAGGAGAAACAUAUUUCUUGUGGACUAAUUGUGGAAGAAGACGGACCAUAAGGACUUCAGAAAAACAACAGCUCUGUGUUGACAUUGUGUUGCAUUCUUCAGAUUUUGUAUGCUAACUAGUUCCCGGAUGUCGGCUAUCUUUACAGGUUGCUACAUUAAUACAGAUAGAAGCAGGUUGAAUUAUUCAGUAUCACAAGACAAUGUAUUUCAAUUGUUAGCAUGUUAGCAUUGACCUGCUAUGGGCAGCAGCUAUGACGCUAGGUGUAGCCACAGAGUUAUGUCACUGUCAGGCUAACAGAUAGCUCGUUGUCUGCAGCUGUUCUCAGUGUUUGCAUGGUCAUGUCCAGCAGCAUCAUGUAGACUGUCCUCGUGAACCAGGUUACUGGGGACACACAGUGAGAUAGUGAGCCUCUUAAGAGAGUAAUGUAAAGCUGGUUUGCAUCUAUCAAACUGGACAGCUGGCACUGAAAUACCAAGCUCAGGAUUGUUGUUAGCCAUGCUCAAAGCCGUCUGUUCUUUGUGAUAUUGCAAACAUUCCAACCUACUUAGAGGACGUGUGAAUGCAUCAUGUCCUGAAUGCAUCUCUUAUUUAUGCACAUCAGAGCAGCCUGUCAUGUAGUAAAUCCGCAGUGCAAGAAGCAGCAUCACUAAGACUGAGAGCAUCGUUUGCUCCAGGAUUAUUUUCUGAAGAGGAGAGCAACAUAUAAAAGGAGCAGCUGGACCAUCAUCCCACCACAAUGGAGACUGUGGGAGAUUUUGAGUACAGCAGGAAAGACCUGGUUGGACAUGGAGCCUUCGCUGUGGUGUUCAAAGGAAGACACAGGAAGAAGACAGAUUGGGAGGUGGCCAUCAAGAGCAUUAAUAAGAAGAACCUGUCCAAGUCCCAGAUCCUUCUUGGCAAGGAAAUCAAAAUCCUGAAGGAGCUGCAGCAUGAAAACAUUGUGGCACUUUACGAUGUCCAGGUAAGUUAUUUUUAUAUCAAUUUUAUAAAAAGUUUGUGGGAAGUUAAGUAUUGAAUAGUACUUUGAGUUUGCUAUGAGACCUUUGUUGUGUCUCAAUUUGUGUCCUACUCUACUUGCAUGUGCUGCUUUGAGUGUAUAAAUGCGUCCAAUUGCAAAAUGAUCCUUAAGUUCCCGGAUGGUGCUAUUAACGUUAUGCGAUUAAUUGAGCAGUCCGUUAUGAUUUGCUACAGCGAACGUUUCUAACAAGCUAGCUAGCUAACACCGGUGAUCGUCAUUUCUGGACAGGCCACAGCAGCUGUUUGCGUUUUAUGAAAAAAAUUCAACACGGUCAGAAUUGAAAGUUCUCACAGUGCACAACAUGGCAGUCUACUAAGGUAUGUGUCCAAAUUGAGACACUUGAACCAAUAUCUAUGGAGUCAAUGAAUAUCUAGUCAACUGAAUGUCCUCAAAUGCUUUGUGUAAAGAGGAUCAAUGUUGCAAUCGGCUAGUAGCACUGCCCGGCUCUAUUGCAUCUAUUUUUGUUCUGCGUGCCAUGGACGAUUCACAUCAAAAGUAAAAAUGAAAAGGAUUUUUUGAGUAUAUUGACAUCAGUACAUUACUACAGUUUCAAUGUCAAAUGUGUCGCAGCAUAUCGUGCAUAUCAUCGGUCUUUGCCGACUCAGCUGGCUGAUUCAGCGUCGAACUACUGCGGCUCUAUCAGUCCAUUUGGCAGAGUUGUGCUGUAUAGAUUUUACAAAGUGAGGCUUCAGCUUCUAUUACAAAUAUGAAAAUACGGGGUCUGUGCUGGAAGUAGGACUGUGUAUUGGCGAGAAUCUGGUGAUGAAAUACGUGUCAUGAUGAUACAGCAUUUAGCAGGAAUUUUAGAUAUGAUACGUUUUUCGUGAGAAAGACAAACCACAACAUGAAACGGUUAACAGUAGAUUUAAAGGUGCAUUGUCAGAAGAAACCACACCAAUAUGGACUUUGGAUGUUUAAAAAGAUAGUCAAUAUUUGCUGCUAAGAAGCACCACCCAAACAGACCUGUUUUUAAAUGGUUUUUCGUAAAACUGUGAGGCUGAUGGAAAACAUGAAAUAUGACUCAAUGGAAAAUGAGAUGCAUUGUGCUGAAUCUGAAUGGCCAUACUGUCAGUACACGGUCACUUACAGUACACUGAUUGAUGGCCAUCUAUAGGGCUCUUGAACUCCUGUUAAAUGAGCACAAAUGCCUCGGAUCCCCUCUGGUCCCUGGCUGAGAGACCCUGUUAUUGCAUCUAGCAGACUGCUAGAUCACACAUUCCUGACGCGUCCCUUUUAAGAUCCCUUUGGAUCAAAUAAAUGGUUUUAAAAAUAAAAAUGUGUUGCUAGAGGCCCAGUAUUAGUGUAUUUUUCAUAGCUUACAGUUUCCUGCAUUUAUCAACGGUACUUGUUAUUCAUCCUGUAUAGUGCAUUACUGAUGUUAUUUGUUGCAGGGUUGCUCUCUCUUGACUUAUUGUGGGUGGUGUGAUAGACUCCCACUUACUUUUAGGCAGGAGUUUGCAGCCACACAGCUUAAGCAGAUGUUUGUAUUUGUAAUUCAGUAUUUUUUAUUCACUCUGACUUCAAAUUAUGUUUCUAUCGGUGUGCAUAUAUGAAACAUGGCUAUUAAGCCUAUAUAGCAUUGGUCAUUUCUCCACAUUUCUACAAACUAUUGUCCUCUUUAUAUCACAAAAGUCCUUACCAGCCGAUAGUAGACAUGUUUGUUAUAGUGUCCCUAAUUGGCCCUUACAUUAGAGUGUCCUUCCAAUGAGGAGAUACACAGGGAGAGGAGGCAGAUAAAGUGAUGCUGAAGCACUUCCCACAUAGGAAUGGUACUUCCUGUGUUUACGUAAGCCUCCCACAGGGACUCUACUGAUCAGUCCAUUCACCCUCUUACUCCUCUAUCCGUCUCCUUAUUCCUCCAUCAGUCCCCCUGAUGUAAUAAACUCUGAGGCAGACGGCUGAGGAGUCCAAUCAUUACUCAGCAGGCAGAAUAAAGUACAAUAGUUCCAUCAGUGAUGAUACUGUAUAUACGUACAUAACUGUGAUUUUAAGAACUGGUUCAUGAUUUUCAUAUUCGAAAAAAACAACCGUCUGUUCCUUUUGAAAAAAAAGGAAACGAUAACCUUAAAGAAAAUGUUCAUUUAUGUAUUUAUUUAGUAAGCAUGUAGGAAAGCUAUGUCUGGCUCAAAUAAGAUUGUCUUUAGAGAUAAUUGCAGUAAGGAAAUGAAUGGCCCAAUACAUUAGGACACUAUAGAUCAGUGGUCACCAACCUUUUUAAGCCCAAGGUCACCGAACUCGGCCUAGGUGAAAGGCGAGAUCUACCUAUUGCAGAAUUGAGUGAA